rnacentral:ncRNA from 20 species
UCACAAUUAAAAGUUCUUGGUGCCCUUAACAAGGCGUAAAAGGGAAAUCCGGUGAGAGUCCGGUGCAGCCCCGCUGCUGUAGGUAGCCCUAAUCCUUAGCAUCAUGCCACUGGGAUCCUUUCAAGGAUUCUGGGAAGGCGCUAAGGAUCUUGAAGGCUACGAGCCAGAAGACCUACCUGAGAACUAAAACUUUGC